AUUGAACGCUGGCGGCAUGCUUUACACAUGCAAGUCGAACGGUAACAGCACUUCGGUGGCUGACGAGUGGCGAACGGGUGAGUAAUACAUCGGAACGUGCCUAGUAGUGGGGGAUAACUACUCGAAAGAGUAGCUAAUACCUCAUGAGAUCUAAGGAUGAAAGCAGGGGACCUUCGGGCCUUGCGCUACUAGAGCGGCUGAUGGCAGAUUAGGUAGUUGGUGGGAUAAAACCUUACCAAGCCGACCAUCUGUAGCUGGUCUGAGAGGACGACCCGCCACACUGGGAUUGAGACACGCCCCACACUCCUACGGGAGGCAGCGAUGGGGAAUUUUGGACAAUGGGCGCAAGCCUGAUCCAGCAAUGCCGCGUGCAGGAUGAAGGCCUUCGGGUUGUAAACUGCUUUUGUACGGAAAGAAAAGCCCUCUUCUAAUACAGGACGGUCAUGACGGUACCGUAAGAAUAAGCCCCGGCUAACUACGUG
rnacentral:rRNA from 1 species